CCUACGGGUGGCUGCAGUGAGGAAUAUUGAUCAAUGGGCGGAAGCCUGAACCAGCCAAGUAGCGUGCAGGAUGACGGCCCUACGGGUUGUAAACUGCUUUUAUACGGGAAUAACGCGCCUUACGUGUAGGGCUUUGCAUGUACCGUAUGAAUAAGGACCGGCUAAUUACGUGCCAGCAGCCGCGGUAAUCCGGAGGGUCCGGGCGUUAUCCGGAUUUAUUGGGGUUAAAGGGAGCGUAGGCCGCAUGUCAAGCGUGCUGUGAAAUGUCCGGGCUCAACCCGGGCCUUGCAGCGCGAACUGGCGGGCUUGAGUGCGGGGAAGGCAGGCGGAAUUCGUCGUGUAGCGGUGAAAUGCGUAGAUAUGACGAAGAACCCCGAUUGCGAAGGCAGCUUGCUGCAGCGGAACUGACGCUGAUGCUCGAAAGCGCGGGUAUCGAACAGGAUUAGAUACCCCAGUAGUC
rnacentral:rRNA from 1 species